GAACUGCGAUAAGCAAUGCGAAUUGCAGAAUUCCGCGAGUCAUCAGAUCUUUGAACGCAACUGGCGCUGAGGGGCUAUCCUCUCAGCAUGCUUGUUUCAGUGUGUUUGUUAACUGCUCACGCACCUGAGUGCGAUUGAAGUGACAUAAAUUAUCGAUGUCACUUCUCUCGUUAAACGCGAGAGUCGGGCUGGCUGCUCGCGCCCAACGAAGCGGUCACUUUGCAAAAGGUGAUUUCGUUGCAAGCGCGGACGCCUAACAUGGCCCUCUCACCAAACACAACAAUCUCCAUCAGCACCUGAAAUCAAGCAAGAUUACCCGCUGAACUUAA
rnacentral:misc_RNA from 1 species